ensembl:rRNA 5S_rRNA 5S ribosomal RNA
UCCAGUAAAUAUGGAGUUAUGGAAUACACCUGAGCUCAUUUCAUCUCAGAAGCUAAGCAGGGUUGGACUUGGUCAAUACUUAGAUGGGCGACCAGCUGGGAAUACCAUAUGCUGUAG